GAGUAAAGAUUUCGGUCGCUUUGGGAGGAGCUCGCUUACUAUUAGCUUGUUGGUAGGGUAAUGGCCUACCAAGGCUAUGACGGUUAGGGGGUGUGAGAGCAUGACCCCCAGCAUUGGCACUGAAACACUGGCCAAACACCUACGGGUGGCUGCAGUCGAGAAUCUUCCACAAUGGGGGAAACCCUGAUGGAGCGAUGCUGCGUGCGGGAUGAAGGCCUUCGGGUUGUAAACCGCUUUUGUAGGGGACGAAAUUUUUGACGGUACCCUUUCGAAUAAGAGGUUGCUAACUCUGUGCCAGCAGCAGCGGUAAUACAGAGACCUCAAGCGUUAUCCGGAUUUACUGGGCGUAAAGCGUCUGUAGGGGGUUUAUUAAGUUCCAAGUAAAAUUUCAAGGCUCAACUUUGAAUUCGCUUGGAAAACUAAUAAACUGGAGUCUAGCAGAGGUGCAUGGAACUUGUGGUGUAGGAGUGAAAUCCGUUGAUAUCACAAGGAACACCAAAGGCGAAGGCAUUGCACUGGGCUAGCACUGACCCUGAGAGACGAAAGCGUGGGGAGCAAAACGGAUUAGAUACCCGUGUAGUCCACGCCCUAAACGAUGAAUGCUAAAUGUUCGGGGAUUCGACCCCCUGGGUGUUACAGCUAACGCGUUAAGCAUUCCGCCUGGGAAGUACGGCCGCAAGGCUAAAACUCAAAGGAAUAGACGGGGAUCCGCACAAGCGGUGGAGCGUCUGGUUUAAUUCGACAGUAAGCGUGGUACCUCACCAGGGUUUGACAUCCCUUGACAGCCUUGGAAACAAGGUUUCCUUCGGGCAAGGUGACAGGUGCUGCAUGGUCGUCGUCAGUUCGUGCCGUGAGGUGUUCCGUUAAGUCGGGAAACGAACGAAACCCCUAUUGCAUGUUACAAUUUCUCAUGCAAGACUGCCCGGAUAUACUGGGAGGAAGGUGGGGAUGACGUCAGAUCUGCAUGGUCCUUAUACCCUGGGCGACACAGGCGCUACAAUGGCAGAGACAAAGGGUUGCAAAACCGCAAGGUGAAGCUAAUCCCAAAAACUUUGUCUAAGUUCGGAUUGAAGGCUGCAAUUCGCCUUCAUGAAGCUGGAAUCGCUAGUAAUCGUGAAUCAGCCACGUCACGGUGAAUAUGUUCCCGGAUCUUGUACUCACCGCCCGUCACACCAAGAGAGUUGGUAGCUCCCGAAG
rnacentral:rRNA from 1 species